UCCGUAGGUGAACCUGCGAAAGGAUCAUUUGUGAAUAUAGGGUGACUCUGUAAAGAGAACCCCGGUUUCCACUUUUUUUCAUACACUGUGCACUAAACCUUUUUUUACUUUCGUUGAAAACACUUGUGUCAAAUUUUGUUUGUGAAUGUACAAUCAUGUUUAAAUGAAAGUAAAACUUUCAGCAAUGGAUCUCUUGGCUCUCGCAUCGAUGAAGAACGCAGCGAAACGCGAAAUGUAAUGUGAAUUGCAGAAUUCUGUGAAUCAUCGAAUCUUUGAACGCACCUUGCGCUCUUGGGUCAUUCCUGAGAGCAUGCUUGUUUGAGUGUCGCAAACUUCUCAACCCCGCUUUUUUUGUUUUAAGUAGCUUGGGUUUGGAUCAUGGUUGCUGUCGAGUUGAAACAUACUUGACUCAGCUGAAAUGUAACAAGCUACAUCAAAGUACUUUGCGGCUCGAACUAUCGUUGUAGAACUUUCAAAUUCGAUAGUAACGCAAAAGAUGUUUGAAUAAGCUUUUAAUCAUGAAAAACACUGUUGAAAGUUCAUCACAGUGCAUUCAGACCUCAAAUCAAGUAGGACUACCCGCUGAACUUUAGCAUAUCAAUAAGCGGAGGA
rnacentral:rRNA from 1 species